ACAGUUUUCCUAAUCUGCAUCCUCCUAGGUUCUUCUGUUGACUUAUAAAAGGCAAGCUGUAACUGAAGAACCCAGCUAGUGAAACCACUUGGACUUUAAUCACUUUUUAACUUCACUUGGGGUCAAGGCUGUACAGAAAUGAAGAAAUAUUUAUUCAAGGAAAUCCACGUGGUCAAUUAAUGUCGAUAAGGGCAGUGUGUGUAUACAAGGAGGAAAGAAAUGUUUCUUCAAUAAAUGGAUAUCCACAUGAAAAAUGUAACGGAAAAUGGAACCUUAUCUUCUAUAAGAAUAGCUCCAAAUAGAUUAAAGACAAUCAGGCUUCCCCUGGACCUCCUCCUCCUUGGACCACUGCCCUGCCAGGUCGGCUGCCUUGACACCUGUUCCAGCUUUACUUGCUGCUGCUAUUGCCACACAUUCUCAGCCCCCAGCUAUACAAGAGCAUCUGCAGCUGCAGCCAGCAAGGCUCCGCACCACCUGCCCCCAGGAAGGCUCUGCACCACCUGCCCCCAGCAAGGCUCUGCACCACCUUCAUUCUUUUCCCACUGGCAGCUGCCCUUGCCCUUAGCUGUCAUAGUUAAAGGUAGAAUUGUUUGUUUUUUCAAAGAGUUUUUACCCACAUUAAGAAUGGGGAACAAUAUUAUGAUGCAGGGAAUUAGAUCUCUGUAGAGUUCCACAAUGGAUGGCGUGAAAAUAGAAAAAAAUUAAAUGAAAGGGUAAGCAAUUUAGCUGGGAUUGACAUGUCAAUUAUAAUCACUGUCAGUUUGGUAAUUCAUGUUUUAUUCUUUUUUAAUUAUUAUUUUUUAUCUAGGUUAGAAACAAUCUUGUUUCACAUA